GAUGAAGAACGUAGCGAAAUGCGAUACUUGGUGUGAAUUGCAGAAUCCCGUGAACCAUCGAGUCUUUGAACGCAAGUUGCGCCUCAAGCCAUUAGGUUGAGGGCACGUCUGCCUGGGCGUCACAUAUCGUUGCCUGAUGCCAGUUUCCUCGUGAUGGGUGACUGUGCAGGGCGAAUGAUGGCUUCCCGUGAGCAUUGUUGCCUCAUGGUCGGUUGAAAAUUGAGUCCUUGGUAGGGAGCGCCGUGAUAGAUGGUGGUUGAGUGACGAACGAGACCCAAUCAUGUGAGACCCCUACCGAAUUUGGCCUUCAUGACCCACAUGCGUCUUUGGAACGCUUAUGACGAGACCUCAGGUCAGGCGGGGCUACCCGCUGAGUUUAAGCAUAUCAAUAAGCGGAGGA
rnacentral:misc_RNA from 1 species